GACGAACGCUGGCGGCGUGCUUAACACAUGCAAGUCGAACGGAAAGGCCUGCUUUCCCUUGUGGAUUGCGGGUACUCGAGUGGCGAACGGGUGAGUAACACGUGAGUGAUCUGCCCCCAACUUGGGUAUAAGCCUGGGAAACUGGGUCUAAUUCCCGAUAGGACUGCAGGGUGGUGCCUGUGGUGGAAAACGAUUUUCUAGUGGUUGGGGAUGAGCUCGCGGCCUAUCAGCUUGUUGGUGGGGUAAUGGCCUACCAAGGCGGCGACGGGUAGCCGGCCUGAGAGGGUGGACGGCCACAUUGGGACUGAGGUACGGCGCAGACUCGUACGGGAGGCAGCAGUGGGGAAUAUUAGACAAUGGGCGGAAGCCUGAUGCAGCGACGCCGCGUGGGGGAUGACGGCCUUCGGGUUGUAAACUCCUUUCGACCGCGAGGAAGCCACCUGGUUGGAAGGGUGGUGACGGUAGUGGUAGAAGAAGCACCGGCUAACUACGUG
rnacentral:rRNA from 1 species